rnacentral:rRNA from 1 species
GACGAACGCUGGCGGCGUGCCUAAUACAUGCAAGUAGAACGCUGAAGGAGGAGCUUGCUUCUCUGGAUGAGUUGCGAACGGGUGAGUAACGCGUAGGUAACCUGCCUGGUAGCGGGGGAUAACUAUUGGAAACGAUAGCUAAUACCGCAUAAGAGUAGAUGUUGCAUGACAUUUGCUUAAAAGGUGCAAUUGCAUCACUACCAGAUGGACCUGCGUUGUAUUAGCUAGUUGGUGAGGUAACGGCUCACCAAGGCAACGAUACAUAGCCGACCUGAGAGGGUGAUCGGCCACACUGGGACUGAGACACGGCCCAGACUCCUACGGGAGGCAGCAGUAGGGAAUCUUCGGCAAUGGACGGAAGUCUGACCGAGCAACGCCGCGUGAGUGAAGAAGGUUUUCGGAUCGUAAAGCUCUGUUGUAAGAGAAGAACGAGUGUGAGAGUGGAAAGUUCACACUGUGACGGUAUCUUACCAGAAAGGGACGGCUAACUACGUGCCAGCAGCCGCGGUAAUACGUAGGUGGCAAGCGUUAUCCGGAAUUAUUGGGCGUAAAGCGCGCGUAGGCGGUUUUUUAAGUCUGAUGUGAAAGCCCACGGCUCAACCGUGGAGGGUCAUUGGAAACUGGAAAACUUGAGUGCAGAAGAGGAAAGUGGAAUUCCAUGUGUAGCGGUGAAAUGCGCAGAGAUAUGGAGGAACACCAGUGGCGAAGGCGACUUUCUGGUCUGUAACUGACGCUGAUGUGCGAAAGCGUGGGGAUCAAACAGGAUUAGAUACCCUGGUAGUCCACGCCGUAAACGAUGAGUGCUAAGUGUUAGGGGGUUUCCGCCCCUUAGUGCUGCAGCUAACGCAUUAAGCACUACGCCUGGGGAGUACGACCGC